rnacentral:rRNA from 1 species
CCUACGGGGGGCUGCAGUGGGGAAUAUUGGACAAUGGGCGAAAGCCUGAUCCAGCCAUGCCGCGUGUGUGAAGAAGGCCUUCGGGUUGUAAAGCACUUUCAGUGGGGAAGAAAGCCUUGGGGCUAAUACCCUCGAGGAAGGACAUCACCCACAGAAGAAGCACCGGCUAACUCCGUGCCAGCAGCCGCGGUAAUACGGAGGGUGCGAGCGUUAAUCGGAAUUACUGGGCGUAAAGCGCGCGUAGGCGGUCUGAUAAGCCGGUUGUGAAAGCCCCGGGCUCAACCUGGGAACGGCAUCCGGAACUGGCAGGCUAGAGUGCAGGAGAGGAAGGUAGAAUUCCCGGUGUAGCAGUGAAAUGCGUAGAGAUCGGGAGGAAUACCAGUGGCGAAGGCGGCCUUCUGGACUGACACUGACGCUGAGGUGCGAAAGCGUGGGUAGCAAACAGGAUUAGAUACCCCUGUAGUC